rnacentral:lncRNA from 1 species
GUCGGUCUGCCCUGCGGACCUGUUUGUCUUCUCUGACUCUGGCAUGCCGUCUAGAGUAUGCUCCACAUUUUGUGUUUUGAAACAUCACUUGCUCGUGACACCUACAGUUGAGCCCCCAGACACAGUGAUCCUUGAAAGUAAAUAAGACUGUUCCGUUUUUUAAAGAGACAGCCAGCUGAAACUGCCUGAGCUUCACCCACAAGAAGAAAUCCCAAGGUCUUGAUGCUUUUAGAAGAAAUAUUUAAAACAAUUCUGAAUUCUUUCCAAAUGUUCUUGCAGCCAUGCAGCACCCACGAGGCCUCUGAUGCUACUUGAGGUGGUGUCUAGUUGCCAAUAGCUAGUAUUCCUGAACAAUUUCAGUUACCCCGUGGGUGGUAACAGAACUCAAGUGACCAACUAUCUAGGGACAGUUGUUAGUACACUGCCUCUUGUGUUUUUCAAUGUAAGACUGAAGAGCAGGCUUUUCUCCUGUCCUUCCCUUACAAUGGUUCCUGAGUUCCCACCUCCACACCCACCCCAUCCCCCACCCCCAUUUGCAGUACUUGUGAGUCAGCUGUAACAGUUGACCAUCAUCUGGCCACCAGCCAAGCUGCUGACAGCAAACUGCUAAUAAAUUGCUGUAAGGGGAGAAGGCUGAGAUGAGGGUGCAGGUUUGGCCUGUUCUGUUGAGGUUUCUUUCUGGCUAUAGACAAAACACCUCCGGGAGGUGGAGCGAGAUCCUGUGACAACAAAGUUCAUGGCUGGGUACGCUGACUCACUCAGGAUGCUAGCGUUAGAGAAGCUAAAACAAGAGGGUCACUACAGAGUAAGAGCCUGUC